rnacentral:rRNA from 1 species
GUGGGGAAUAUUGGACAAUGGGGGGAACCCUGAUCCAGCCAUGCCGCGUGUGUGAAGAAGGCCUUUUGGUUGUAAAGCACUUUAAGCGAGGAGGAGGCUACCGAGAUUAAUACUCUUGGAUAGUGGACGUUACUCGCAGAAUAAGCACCGGCUAACUCUGUGCCAGCAGCCGCGGUAAUACAGAGGGUGCAAGCGUUAAUCGGAUUUACUGGGCGUAAAGCGCGCGUAGGUGGCCAAUUAAGUCAAAUGUGAAAUCCCCGAGCUUAACUUGGGAAUUGCAUUCGAUACUGGUUGGCUAGAGUAUGGGAGAGGAUGGUAGAAUUCCAGGUGUAGCGGUGAAAUGCGUAGAGAUCUGGAGGAAUACCGAUGGCGAAGGCAGCCAUCUGGCCUAAUACUGACACUGAGGUGCGAAAGCAUGGGGAGCAAACAGGAUUAGAUACCCGAGUAGUC